GUGCAAAAGUAAUUGCGGUUUUUGCCAUUGAAAGUAAUUGCAAAAACUACAGUUACUUUU
rnacentral:miRNA from 1 species